AUGAAGCUGUGUCUGGUAGCCAUGGUGCUCCUGCUGCUCAGUGUGGCACAAGCCAAGAAGGAGGGCAUGAAGGAGGAUGUGGGCACAGUGGUUGGCAUCGACCUGGGGACCACCUACUUCUGCAUUGGGAUGUUCAAGAAUGGUUGCAUGGAGAUCAUUGCUAACGAUCAGGGCAACUGCAUCAUGCCAUCUUACAUGGCCUUCACUCCAGAAGGGAAGCGGCUGACUGGGGAUGUGGCCAAGAACCAGCUCACCUCCAAUCCCAAGAAUAUGGUCUUCAAAACCAAGUGGCUCAUCGGUCGCACUUGGAAUAGCCCCUCUGUGCAGCAGGACAUCAAGUUCUUGCCUUUCAAGGUGGUUGAAAAGAAAACUAAACCAUACAUUAAAGUUGAUAUUGGAGGUGGGUAAACCAAGACGUUUGCUCUGGAAGAAAUUUCUCUCAUGGUUCUCACUAAAAUGAAGGAAACUACUGAGGCUUAUUUGGGAAAGAAGGUUACUCAUGCAGUUUUACUGUACCUGCCUAUUUUAAUGAUGCUCAAAGGCAAGCAACCAAAGAUCCUGGUACAAUUGCUGAAUGUUAUGAGGAUCACCAAUGAGAUGACAACAGCUGCUAUUGUUUAUGACCUGGAUAAGAGAGAGGGGGAAAACCAUCCUGAUGUUUGACCUUGGUGGUGGAGCUUUUGAUGUGUCUUUUCUCACCAUCAACAAUGGUGUCUUCGCAGUUGUGGUCACUAAUGGAAAUACUCAUCUGGGUGGAGGGGACUUUGACCAUCAUAUUGUGGAACCCUUCAUCAAGCUGUACAAAAAGAAGACUGGCAAAGCUGUGAGGAAGGCCAACAGAGCUGUACAGAAACUCCAUCGUGAGGUAGAAAAGGUCAAGCGGGCCCUCUCUUCUCAGCAUCAAGCAAGAAUUGAAAUUGAAUCUUUCUAUGAAGGAGAAGACUUUUCUGAGACCUUUACUCAUCCCAAAUUUGAAGAACUAAACAUGGAUCUGUUCUGUUUUACCAUGAAGCCCAUCCAGAAAGUGUUGGAAGAUUCUGACUUGAAGAAGUCUGAUAUCUAUGAAAUUGUUCUUGGUGGCUCUACUUGAAUUCCAAAGAUACAGCAACUAGUUAAAGAGUUCUUCAAUGGCAAGGAGCCACCCCGUGGCGUAAACCCAGGUGAGGCUGUAGUGUAUGGUGCUGCUGUCCAGGCUGGUGUACACUAAGGUGAUCAAGAUACAGGAGACCUGAUACUGCUGGAUGUAUGUCUCCUUAUACUUGGCAUUGAAAAUGUGGGAGGUGUCAUGACCAAACUGACUCCAAGAAACACUGUGGUCCCUACCAAGAAGUCUCAGAUCUUUUCCAUAGCUUCUCAUAAUCAACCAACUGUUAACAAUCAAAGUCUAUAAAGGGGAGUGAUCCCUGAUGAAAGAUAAUCACCUCCUGGGUACAUUUGACAUGACUGGAAUUCCUCCUGCUCCUCCUGGGCUCCCCCAGAUUGAAAUCACCUUUGAGAUAGAUGUGAAUGGCAUUCUUUGGGUGACAGCUGAAUACAAGGGUACAGAAAAUAAAAAUAAGAUCAUAAUCACCAAUGACAAAAAUCACCUGACACCUGAAGAAAUUGAAAGGAUGGUUAAUAAUGCUAAGAAGUUUGCUGAGGAAGACAAAAAGCUGAGGGAUGCAUCGACACUAGGAAUGAGCUGGAAAGCUAUGCCUACUCUUCAAAGAAACAGAUUGGAGGUAAAGAAAAGCUAGGAGGCAAACUUUCCUCAGAAGAUAAGGAGACCAUGGAAAAAACUGUAGAGGACAAGAUUGAGUGGCUGGAAAGCCACCAAGAUGCUGACAUUGAAGACUUCAAAGCAAAGAAGAAGGAAUUAGAAGAAAUUGUUCAGCCUACUAUCAGCAAACUCUAUGGAAGUGCAGGCCCUCCCCUGACUGGUGAAGAGUAUACAGCAGAAAAAGAUGAAUUGUAG